rnacentral:lncRNA from 1 species
CUCCAAGAUCCAUCUGUCUUCUACACAGGCCAAACAGAAAUGUUGAAUGGGUAUUCCUGGGAAUUAAUGCCCCUGCACCUUUCACCUCCUUGAUGGUAGCAUAAAUCUCUUCAAUCCCUCCAGUGUCAUGACUCAGAUACAAUCAGACUUAUCAUUGGACACCAUAUCCCUCACCCAGGAUCCUAAGUAUGUGUCUUUGGAAACUUUGUAUUCAUUCCAAACAAUUGACCAGCGAUUUUCCAUUGUAACUUUGCGCACCUGGCCUUUGAAGUUUGAGUGAUGCCACUUGGCCACUGCCAUUCUGGGAUCCAAUUACUCCCACUGCACUGACUUUCCAUUUGAGUG